UUUUCACCUUAAAGAUCUAGGCUGCUCACUUACUGUACAUCACAAUUGAUUGAAUGUCUUCUACUUUACGUUCUUAUAGCUCAUAACUGUUUUAGCUAAUUGAGUUGUCAUGUUAGACGAUUGUGUGCUUUUUGCUUGCCACUUGAAAUCUUCAUUUCAUAUGACUUGCUGAGGGAGAAAAUUAGACACAUAACUGAAGCUAUUACAUGAAUGCAUUCCAUUUGUUGGAUAGAUGCUUACCAAUGAUGAAGAUGGAGGCCUUCCAAACACCUAUUGAAUCCGUAAGAGGAACUCUUCCUUUAUGAUCGACAGAAGAAUCAUAAACCCAUUUUUCCCAUAUAUUUCUACUGAUUAACAUUUGAGGCUAAGGUAUGAGUGAACUCCAUGUAGUAGAACUCAAAGUCUAGAAUAAUAAAUUGGAUCAGUAUGGUGUUGUAAACAGUGCUAUUUAUGCAAGUUAUUGCCAACAUUGUAAGGUUUUCUGUUUCAAUCUGCACUCAAAUGAUUUACUCCUAGCAUAUUAAAUCAGUGCUAUCAUUCAUCAAAUAAAGACUAUACAUGUGCUUUUUCUUUAAUGAAAAAGGAAAAUUCUGAUCAGGGAGAAAACUCUAUAGGUAACUGAUAUUAAUGGAAAUUAAUGGAAAAUGAUCUUUUAUAUAUGUUAUAUGUUACUUUUUGUGACCGUAUAGUUAGCUCAUCUCUUAACCUUGAUUAUGGAAUUUGUUUUCUCUCUGAAUAAUUUGAGAUUAUGUUAUCUAAAAUUUGAAUAAUGAAUACGAUUUGCUUUGCUCCGCUUAUUUGUAAAAUAUUGUUGAAUCUCGAAAUCGAAGGGAAUUUUGUGGUUAAUAACUUUUUGAAUGUUAUUUUCUAGACAUACUGUACUUAAGGAUAGCAGCCUAUAUGCAUUUUUUAUGUGAACUUAGAAAACUCGUCUCUAUAAGCUCUUGGUUGCCAUAACUGUUAUUUGCCAUAAAUUUGCUCAGUUUUAAAUUAUAUCUCAUUUCGAAAAGGAGGUCAGUUUAAUUAAUCUAAUGAUAUGUCUAUUCAAAAUGUUGUGACGUAAUUGUCAUAGAUCUUUACUUGUGAUGCUUAACCAAGGUUUAUCACAAAUUCAAGUCUUUCCAAUGUAAUAAGAACUAUUAUGCGUGUUGUGUCAGUACUUAUUGUGGAUCUUUACUUGUGAUACUUAACCAAGGUUUAUCACAAAUUCAACUCUUUCCAAUGUAAUAAGAACUAUUACGCGUGCUGUGUUUGUGCUGAUUGAGAAUCUUACUUACUAAUAUAAAUUUUGUGGUUUUACCAUAAAUUUAUAUCACAUGUUGCUAGUUCCUCCACUGUUGUUGGUUACUCUUUGCUUUGCUCCAUUAACCCUUUUCCUUUUCGUGGGAAAAUUGACGCGGGAAAACAGGAAGUGCAAACUCGAAUUUUUUAAUCAAAGUAUUUUUCAAGAUCAUUUCUUCUAAGAUUUAGCAUAACACUUUAUUUUUGUCAAAAUCAUUACUUUAAUAGAUUUAAACAAUAGCUCAAUAAGAAACCGAUUUAAACUAACUACUGAAGAGAGUUUCUUAUGGUAAAUUCCAAUAAGUGGGGCUAGUGUAUGUAAUCACCCAUGACAAGAGUCGAUUACGAUAGUAGUGAGCACCCUCCACUUCCAACCAUGAGGUUGUGAGUUCAAAUCACCUGAACAGCAAGGUGGGGAGUUCUUGGAGGGAGGGAUGUCGAGGGUCUAUCGGAAACAGCCUCUCUACCUCAGGGUAGGGGUAAGGUCUGCGUACACGCUACCCUCCCCAGAUCCUACUGGUGGAAUUAUACAGGGUUGUUGUUGUCGUUGUAACAUUUGAGGCUAAGUCAUUAUUAUUGGAUAAGUGGAGAUGUGGUCCAGCUUCAAUUAAAGACGAGAUAUUUUGCGAGGCAAAAUGAAUAGUUGUACUUUUAUUGAACACCUCUGGAGAUGCUACAUCAGAUAAUAGAUCUAUCCAAGAGUAGGAAAGAUAUCUAUUUGCCAUUGAUUUGGUUUUCUUGAAUAUUCUGCAGGUAGCCUAUGCAUAGCAGGAGCUUAGUGCACCGUACUGCCCUUUAUUUCUAGUUUUACUAUAUAUAAAUGAGAAGGAGGAGGACGAACACAGCUGCAUAAGUUGUACUAUCUGCUGUCUCGCAAGUAUGUUUAAGAUAAACUAGUUAUGAAGGUUUUUGGGCACCUAAAUUUUUUGGAUGCGCGGUAAAGUAUUGUGUUACUUUAUUUUAAUGUUAUUUCUAUCAAGUUUUGACUUAUAGAAUCAGUUGAUAUUAUAUAGAUAUUUACAUCUAUUUGGGUUUGACAUUUUAUCUUUGUUUGGCUGUUAAGAACUUUUCUUCUGCAUAUAAAAUGUUAGUAUUUCAAUGAACCUUGCUGUAUAUGAUUGGGAAGAUGGCAUUCUUAUGUUUACUAAGUAGGAGUUACAUUAUCUCCUUUUUAAUUUACAAUUGUUUGUUGAUGGCUUGAAAGAAUUCUGUAUUUCAACUUUUAGUUAUGUGAUUUUUUUUCUUUUGUUGACACAUGAAAUCCAUUGCUGAUUUUGAUAAGUGAGAUGAAAAUUAUUUUGCGCCUUUGCCAUUGCAACAAUAACAAAGUAGCAAAUGUAAGUCAUUUACUUACAACUAUUUACUAAAGAAAACAGAAUAUAUACUCUGAUGGUUACUUAAGUGCAGAAAAGUACUAUAUGGCUUUGAACAUGAGACAUAGCUUCAUACAUGAACAUAGAAAGCAAUAAUUACUCAUUCUAAUCAUUAUUGAGUGACUGGAAUUUGAAUAGAAAUUCUUGAUUGAAAGGAAAAUUAGAUGAUUGCUCGAUGCGCGCUGCAAUAUGGUAUAGGUGGAAUCGCAUAGAGCCAGUCUAAAAUUAUAUAUGAGGAGAUCUCUCGUCAUAUGUAAAAUUAUUGAAAUCCAAAAGUUAUAUUUUGAGCUGCAUGUAUUUAACUUCUGUUGAGGUUAUAUACUUGCUCAUAUUGGAAAGAGAUCUUUUCUUUGUCUUUUUUUACUGAUACGAAGUUUUAAAAAUAAGACUAGACAUUGAUGACAUCCAAAGAAAAUCCAUGAAGUUAAAAGUGAAAUGGUAGAAUCAUAUCUGCUAUAUAAUUUCUUAUAGCAAUUGGACGAUUGUGCAAAUGCAAAUUUUAAUGUGACUUGAGUAUUAUUCUUCUGAAGGAUGAAUUGAUUACUGAACAAAGUUUUGAUUCAUAGAUAAAGUAUGCCAGUAAACAAGAGUUGGUACCAAUCAAGAAGAGAGUAGCCUUACUUCUUUAUCGUGGAAAAUUACUUAUUACUUUUCACUGCCGCUAAAAGUAUGGUAUAUGUACAUUUUCAUGUUUGUAUAGUUCUUGCAAAAGUUGUUUGCAUCAUUUUGUCGAGAAGUAAUAAAACAAAUGAAAUUAAGAGUGGUAGGCGAGGUUUUGACUCCCUUUGCACCAACACUCGGUGUUCUCAGAUUAAUUUAAUUGCAGCGACAAUUUAUAUUCCUAGAACUAUAACCUUCUAUUAGCAUCAUUAUUUUUUGUAUGAAAUGAUCUUGAUGACAUAUUUUUCAAUCUUUAUGACCUGAUUUAUUUUAGUUUUUCUGAAUUUGCAUAUACUACAACAACAACAACUACCCAGUAUAGUUCCACAAAGUGGGGUCUGGGGAGGGUAAUAUGUAGNNNN
rnacentral:lncRNA from 1 species